AUUGAACGCUGGCGGCAGGCCUAACACAUGCAAGUCGAGCGGAUGAAGGGAGCUUGCUCCUGGAUUCAGCGGCGGACGGGUGAGUAAUGCCUAGGAAUCUGCCUGGUAGUGGGGGAUAACGUCCGGAAACGGGCGCUAAUACCGCAUACGUCCUGAGGGAGAAAGUGGGGGAUCUUCGGACCUCACGCUAUCAGAUGAGCCUAGGUCGGAUUAGCUAGUUGGUGGGGUAAAGGCCUACCAAGGCGACUAUCCGUAACUGGUCUGAGAGGAUGAUCAGUCACACUGGAACUGAGACACGGUCCAGACCCCUACGGGAGGCAGCAGUGGGGAAUAUUGGACAAUGGGCGAAAGCCUGAUCCAGCCAUGCCGCGUGUGUGAAGAAGGUCUUCGGAUUGUAAAGCACUUUAAGUUGGGAGGAAGGGCAGUAAGUUAAUACCUUGCUGUUUUGACGUUACCAACAGAAUAAGCACCGGCUAACUUCGUG
rnacentral:rRNA from 1 species